UACGGAGGGUGCAAGCGUUAUCCGGAAUUACUGGGUUUAAAGGGUGCGUAGGCGGCGACAUCAGUCAGAAGUGAAAGUUGACGGCUUAACCGUAAAAUUGCUUUUGAUACUGUGUGGCUUGAAUUAGGUUGAGGUUGGCGGAAUGUGGCAUGUAGCGGUGAAAUGCUUAGAUAUGCCAUAGAACACCGAUUGCGAAGGCAGCUGACUAGACCUAUAUUGACGCUGAGGCACGAAAGCGUGGGGAGCGAACAGG
rnacentral:rRNA from 1 species